CCCCUCCUGCCACUAGAGGGCACUGUGCAAAACUGCACAACUUUGUUGUUUCUUGAGUUUGUUGCAGCAGUUAUUUGUAGCUAUUAACAACAAUUGUUUCUCUUUCUUUGUUCUAUGUGUGCGUGCUGCAGGAUUGGUGAUUGGGGGGUGUGUCGUAGUUUCUCACCUGAGCUCCAAACUCCGCGGUUUGUCCUUCGGUGACUCCCCUCCCUGGCAGACUAGACCGGACUGGAACUCUGGAGGUUUUAUGCAGUUCUGAUGUCAGGGGUUGUUUGAGAAGCAACACAGGAAUCUGUCUGCUGUCUUGACCACAUCGUCUGGCAGAAGAAGGCGACGGAGCUAUUACAGGACCUCGUCUGAGGGAAUCAUUGUCCUGAGAAUCUGAAACAACAAACAGAGGGGUUCGACACAAACAGCUAUUGUCUCGCUUGUGUUUUUUGGGUUGAGGAUAGAAAGGGGCGGAGGGAAAUCAAAGUGUGUGAUUGUGGAGUUUCUCCACGUCAGUGAUAAUAAGGAACGAUGGUGGGAGUGGGGAAGGAACAAAGAAGCGUGUCAUGAUGGGAGUCUGGAUUUAAAACCACAGUCAGUGAUAUUUGAGAGAGAGCAGCGUCUGAUAUUGUUUGUGUCUGCAGCAAAACGCACUAAUUGUAUCUGAGUUGGUGGAUCGUAUUGUAUGAACUGAGACUGAAACAGAAGAAAAUGAAUCAGUGUCUGGAGCAGAAAGGCCUCUUUCUCUGCUCAUAUAAAAUAUAUAGUAUAGUUAGCUUUCAAAGCCUGAGCCUGAAAUGACCCAAUCAGGCUUCCGUAGCAACAUAACUUCCAUGUAUAAGGAUAUAUCUAUCACAUUUUAAAUCAAGGUUUUCUAAAAUGUUUGGUUUUAAGGAAUCUAUAAAAAUAUAAAAGUUGUUUUAGAGAUAAUUAAUGAAACUUUAGGGAGCAAAUAUCCAAGAGAUGGGUAUUAAAAAAAAAAAAAAGACAAAAAUAAAACAUAAAUAAGAUGUAAG